rnacentral:rRNA from 1 species
GCAUAUCAAUAAGCGGAGGAAAAGAAACCAACAGGGAUUACCUCAGUAACGGCGAGUGAAGCGGUAACAGCUCAAAUUUGAAAUCUGGCCUCACGGUCCGAGUUGUAAUUUGUAGAGGAUGCUUCGAGCAUGGUCUGGCCUAAGUUCCUUGGAACAGGACGUCAUAGAGGGUGAGAAUCCCGUAUGCGGCCAGGUGCCUACGCUCAUGUGAAGCUCCUUCGACGAGUCGAGUUGUUUGGGAAUGCAGCUCAAAAUGGGUGGUAAAUUUCAUCUAAAGCUAAAUAUUGGCCAGAGACCGAUAGCGCACAAGUAGAGUGAUCGAAAGAUGAAAAGCACUUUGGAAAGAGAGUUAAACAGUACGUGAAAUUGUUGAAAGGGAAGCGCUUGCAACCAGACUUGCGCGCGGCCGAUCAUCCGGUGUUCUCACCGGUGCACUCGGCCGUGCUCAGGCCAGCAUCGGUUUUGGCGGCUGGAUAAAGGCCCUAGGAAUGUGGCUCCUCUCGGGGAGUGUUAUAGCCUAGGGUGCAAUGCAGCCUGCCGGGACCGAGGACCGCGCUUCGGCUAGGAUGCUGGCGUAAUGGUUGUAAGCGGCCCGUCUUGAAACACGGACC